UAUUGGUGGUUAGGAUCGAGCUUUUUCUAUACUGUAACUGUCUAUACUUUCUAAAUUUGUGAAGUAAUAAAUUUGAGCUAAUUAUUGUGUUAUUGAUGUUAUAUUUUUAGUUACAAUUCAAUCAUUUUAAUUCAACUUCAUGUUAUUAUUUUAAUUUUCAGGAACCGAAACCUGGAACAGUGGACAGAUCUUCCACUACUAGAUGGAAAUUUAAACUGACAGUGUUAUCAGGCAUUGGCAUUAUUUGUGGUUUGUUGUUUUACGCUAAAAAAGCAUUGUAAUUUAAAUAAGUACUGAUGUAAGAUCCCAAAUUGUGAUAUUUUCUGUAAGUUUUUUAUGUUGAAUAUAUUUGUAACAUAUUUGAAAGAAUAAAAAAAUGUAUAAGUAA